UAGGGAAUCUUCCGCAAUGGGCGAAAGCCCGACGGAACAACGCCGCGUGAGUGAUGAAGGUCUUCGGAUCGUAAAACUCUGUUAUUAGGGAAGAACAAAUGUGUAAGUAACUAUGCACGUCUUGACGGUACCUAAUCAGAAAGCCACGGCUAACUACGUGCCACCAGCCGCGGUAAUACGUAGGUGGCAAGCGUUAUCCGGAAUUAUUGGGCGUAAAGCGCGCGUAGGCGGUUUUUUAAGUCUGAUGUGAAAGCCCACGGCUCAACCGUGGAGGGUCAUUGGAAACUGGAAAACUUGAGUGCAGAAGAGGAAAAUGGAAUUCCAUGUGUGGCGGUGAAAUGCGCAGAGAUAUGGAGGAACACCAGUGGCGAAGGCGAAUUUCUGGUCUGUAACUGACGCUGAUGUGCGAAAGCGUGGGGAUCAAACAGG
rnacentral:rRNA from 1 species